rnacentral:rRNA from 1 species
AUUGAACGCUGGCGGCAUGCCUUACACAUGCAAGUCGAACGGCAGCACGGGUGCUUGCCCCUGGUGGCGAGUGGCGAACGGGUGAGUAAUACAUCGGAACAUGUCCUGUAGUGGGGGAUAGCCCGGCGAAAGCCGGAUUAAUACCGCAUACGAUCUACGGAUGAAAGCGGGGGACCUUCGGGCCUCGCGCUAUAGGGUUGGCCGAUAGCUGAUUAGCUAGUUGGUGGGGUAAAGGCCUACCAAGGCGACGAUCAGUAGCUGGUCUGAGAGGACGACCAGCCACACUGGGACUGAGACACGGCCCAGACUCCUACGGGAGGCAGCAGUGGGGAAUUUUGGACAAUGGGCGAAAGCCUGAUCCAGCAAUGCCGCGUGUGUGAAGAAGGCCUUCGGGUUGUAAAGCACUUUUGUCAGGAAAGAAAUCCUUGGCUCUAAUACAGUCGGGGGAUGACGGUACCGGAAGAAUAAGCACCGGCUAACUACGUG